GAGGUGGACGGCCCCACAUGGGACUGAGACACGGCCCAGACUCCUACGGAAGGCAGCAG
rnacentral:rRNA from 1 species